rnacentral:misc_RNA from 1 species
GUAGGUGAACCUGCGGAAGGAUCAUUAAAGAAUGCCCCGUUUUUCGAAAUGGGUUCUAUUCCCAAACCGUGUAUACAUACCUUUGUUGCUUUGGCAGGCCGCCUUCGGGCGUCGGCUGACGCUGACCGCGCCUGCCAGAGGACCCAAACUCGUUUGUUUAGUGAUGUCUGAGUACUAUAUAAUAGUUAAAACUUUCAACAACGGAUCUCUUGGUUCUGGCAUCGAUGAAGAACGCAGCAUCUGACUGACU